rnacentral:rRNA from 1 species
CAAUAGCGUAUAUUAAAGUUGUUGCAGUUAAAAAGCUCGUAGUUGGAUUUCGGGACGGGCCAGUUGGUCCGCCGCAAGGUGUGCUACUGACUGGUCUGUUCUUCUUCGCAAAGACUGCGUGUGCUCUUCGUUGAGUGUGCGUAGGAUUUACGACGUUUACUUUGAAGAAAUUAGAGUGUUCAAAGCAGGCUAUCGCUUGAAUACAUGAGCAUGGAAUAAUGGAAUAGGACUUUGGUCCUAUUUUGUUGGUUUCUAGGACCGAAGUAAUGAUUAAGAGGGACAAUUGGGGGCAUCCGUAUUUCGUUGUCAGAGGUGAAAUUCUUGGAUUUACGAAAGACGAACAACUGCGAAAGCACUUGCCAAGAGUGUUUUCAUUAA